rnacentral:rRNA from 1 species
UACGUAGGGUCCGAGCGUUAUUCGGUAUUAUUGGGCGUAAAGAGUACGUAGGCGGUCUGGUAAGUCAAUGGUUAAAGCCCCGAGCCCAACUCGGGAACUGCCGUCGAUACUGCCAGACUUGACGAUAGCAGGGGCAAGCGGAAUUCUCGGUGUAGGAGUGAAAUCCGUUGAGAUCGAGAAGAACACCAAUGGCGAAGGCAGCUUGCUAGGCUAUAUGUGACGCUGAGGUACGAAAGCGUGGGGAGCGAACGGG